GAUGUCGCUUAGUGGACACGCGUCACACCUGGAAGUCUCCUACUCUCACUCAUCUCUAUCUCUCUCCCGGCUUGGUUUGGUGAAAUCUGUGGGUUUCGAAUCCAAAUCGUCGUGAUUGGUCGUCGAGGACGAAUCAGUAGGCGAUUCCGUUAGCGAUGGUGGGGUGGGCGAUAGCGUUACACGGAGGCGCCAGAGCCAUUCCAAUCAAUCUCCCUGAUGAGCGACAUAUCCCUCGCGAGACCGCCCUCCGUCACUGCCUCGAUCUCGGCGUUUCCGCCCUCAAAUCCGGCAAACAUCCACUUGACGUCACCGAACUCGUCGUUCGUGAACUUGAGAACCACCCAGACUUCAAUGCUGUUGGAUUACACAGCGCUUACACCGAAAAAACCUGAAAUCCGUGGCGACAGUCAGUGCCUUCAAGAUCUCAGCCAGCAACGCCAAACUCUCCUUCACUCCCACAGCAAGCACCCUAAAAUAAGCACAUUUGCAAUGGAGGAGAAAAAAUGUCAAGUUGCUUAGCUAAGUCUCUUACCUAAAUUAUCUCCUUAAAUACUAUUAUAAUAUAAUUAAGCAACCCAUUAUAAGUUGUUAGGAUAAUGAUGCUCUUAGUAGCUAUCUCGAGUGAUGCUUCUCACGUCGUCUACGACGUAUCUUGAUGUGGCUGUGUCUCUUUCUCUGCCACCGCGCCUCCAACUACUCCGACUGUGUCUCCUCCUUUGUGAGCGGCUCCGUAUCUCCUCAUCUGCCUCAUUAUCCUAUGCGACUCCAUAUUUAUUUUCCUUCUCUUUAUGUCGCCAACAAUGGUGGUUAAGCCUCUUGGAUCUGUUCUGAGGUCUUCUGUGGUUUGGACAAAAAGCUUGCACCGAGAGAGCAUUUCCCUUCUGUUAAUUGUUUGAUUUCCUACUCAAAGUAUUCAACGUUCGAUCCAGAUUUCAUCAACAUCAGGACAAAGGCCAGAGAGGUGUUGCAGAGGGAAGAUGAUCUUAGUGAAAUUGUCCAGCUUGUGGGAAAAGAUGCACUAGCAGAAGGUGACAAGAUCACCUUGGAAACAGCUAAGCUGUUGAGAGAAGACUACCUUGCUCAAAACGCGUUCACACCAAGUGAUACUCAUCAAAGCUUCUUUACCGAAGCUUCCACAAGAAAACCGCACGAGUUACGAGGCCAUGGGUCUAGGCACUCAACAGUAUUUUUCAUGGAAAGUGACGUCAAUUUAUAGGCAAGGGUGUUGAAGUGAAGUUUGCCGCAAGUUUGCUAAUGAGUGAUAUCGUUGUUGUCUUGAACAAUGAAGAAAAUCUUCAGUCAAUGAUGUUAAACUUACUUCUUAAGAGUUGCUGAGCUGAUACCUGCAAGCAAAGAUGGAACCAUUAGCGGAAAGAGUGGUCAACAGAUAUUGUUUGAGCUCUUGGCCAAGGUGGAACUUCCCUAGGAAUGAUAAAAGAAAAGACUUGGUUUAGGCAAGUAUAUGCUAUUCAGAGAACUUCAUCUUUUUGUUUCCUCCGAGCCAUUUUGAAGCUUGAAGGCGUUUACUCAGCAUUUGAGAUCCUCCACUUCAUCAAGUACCACGGCCUUGGAAACGAUUUCAUUCUGGUAGACAAUAGGGAUUCCUCAGAGCGUAAGAUUACUCAGGAGCAAGCUGUGAAGCUCUGUGAUCGAAACUUUGGCGUUGGUGCGGAGUCAUCUUUGCGAUGCCUGGCGUUAAUGGCACUGAUUACACUAUGAGGAUAUUCAACUCAGAUGGUAGCGAACCAGAGAUGUGUGGAAAUGAAGUUAGAUGCUUUGCAAGAUUCAUUGCUGAGAUUGAGAAUCUACAAGGAAAGCAUAGUUUUACAAUACAUACUGGUGUUGGCCUCAUCAUUCCAGAGAUUCAAGAUGAUGGGCAGAUUAUAAGGUUGAUAGGGGGAAACUGAUACGUAGAGCAGAUGAUGUGCCUACGAGGUUGGAAGGGAACAAAGGCAAGUCUAUUGUUGCAGCGGAGCUAGCAGAGAUGAAGUGUACUGAUUAGUUGUCUAAUUGUCUAAUUGAAACACUUAACAAAGAUAAAGUGUACUGAUUAGCUGUUGCAACUGCAUUUUCACUCAUGAGCAAACUCUAUGGCUACUGAGGAAAUUUUUUAAGGAUAUAUUCCUCCCUGGAACUCAAGCCUCUUGCUACUCAUCAUUACAUGUAUUAGCCUACCAUUUCUUCUCCGAUUCAAACUAUUUUCACAAAUCAAAUUCUUUUGUAUAUUAUAAAUUAGCUUCUUUAUUGUUU